CUUGUCUGUCAUGGGCAUCCAACGAUGAGAAGGUGAAAUGGAAGGUUAGGAAACUAAAGCCCAAGAAACUCAUUGGACAACAACGAACCUCAGGACAAGGUAGUGUGUUUCCAGUAACGCUACCACGCUACAUGUCCUUAUGCUCAGGCCUUCGUACAACACGGACGGGCAACCGAGGGGACGGCCCUAGUUUAAUGAUGUCUGGCUUCAUUGACGUGCUUCUACCAUUAGAAGCAAUAAAUCCUUGUUCUCCUAGGUUUGGUACGUCACAGAAAAGGAUGAAGAGAAAAAAAGCAGAGCAGAUCGUUCCAAGUUGUACAAUCCUGCCAGUUCCAAGUCAGAUGGCGAACUUGAUGUGUAUGUUUCAAGGAUGAAGUACAGGCAGAAGUGUAUCUCUUACCUUACAGGAAGCAAGGAACAGCUUGAAAAUCUCCAUACCCCUUGAGCAAGAGAAAA